UUGCUUUCUUUGCUGGCGACCGGCGCACGGGUGAGUAACACGUAUCCAACCUGCCCUUUACUCGGGGAUAGCCCUUCGAAAGAAAGAUUAAUACCCGAUAGCAUAAUGAUUCCGCAUGGUUUCAUUAUUAAAGGAUUCCGGUAAAGGAUGGGGAUGCGUUCCAUUAGGUUGUUGGUGGGGUAACGGCCCACCAAGCCUUCGAUGGAUAGGGGUUCUGAGAGGAAGGUCCCCCACAUUGGAACUGAGACACGGUCCAA
rnacentral:rRNA from 1 species